GACGAACGCUGGCGGCGCGCUUAACACAUGCAAGUCGAGCGAGAACCUGGGCUUCGGCCCUGGGGACAGCGGCGAACGGGUGAGUAACACGUGGGUAAUCUGCCCUCGGCAUCGGGAUAGCCCGGGGAAACCCGGAUUAAUACCGAAUGGCCUCCGGAGCCUCCGGGGGCCGGAGAAAAGGUAGCUUCGGCCUCUGGCCGAGGAUGAGCCCGCGGCGGAUUAGCUUGGUGGGGGGGUAACGGGCCACCAAGGCGACGAUCCGUAGCUGGUCUGAGAGGACGAUCAGCCACACUGGGACUGAGACACGGCCCAGACUCCUACGGGAGGCAGCAGUGGGGAAUCUUGCGCUAAUGCGGGAAACCGUGACGCAGCGACGCCGCGUGGGGGAAGAAGGCCUUCGGGUUGUAAACCUCUUUCAGGAGGGACGAAGCUACUCGGGUUAAUAGCCCAGAGGGUGACGGUACCUCCAGAAGAAGCCCCGGCUAACUACGUGCCAGCCGCCGCGGUAACAC
rnacentral:rRNA from 1 species